UACGGAGGGAGCUAGCGUUGUUCGGAAUUACUGGGCGUAAAGCGCACGUAGGCGGCUUUGUAAGCUAGAGGUGAAAGCCCGGGGCUCAACUCCGGAACUGCCUUUAAGACUGCAUCGCUUGAAUCCAGGAGAGGUGAGUGGAAUUCCGAGUGUAGAGGUGAAAUUCGUAGAUAUUCGGAAGAACACCAGUGGCGAAGGCGACUGACUGGACAAGUAUUGACGCUGAGGUGCGAAAGCGUGGGGGAGCAAACAGG
rnacentral:rRNA from 1 species